GAGGCAGAGGCUGCAGUAAGCUGAGAUCGUGCCACUGUACUCCAGCCUGCGUGGCAGAGCAAGACUCUGUAUCAAAAAAUAAAGAAAGAAAAUAAAAUAUAUUUUCUAAUAUUCAAGUGAGAUUUCUUCUACAUAUUUGUUGUCUCUAUUAUGAUGCAGUAUGUACUACGAAUAUUUUCACGUAAUUAUCAAGUAUCAGCUUAAGAAAAUUCAUGUGAUCUGGUUUGUUUGCUUAACAGAGAUUUAACAACAAAUCUAAGAGACUAGCUUUACUAUCAUUAAUAAGAAAUAAGGUAACUGACUUCCCUUUCAAAGAGAUUUAUUCCAUAUUUAAUCACAUACUUCAAAUCUGGGUUCAUUAUAUACUAAUGUCAGUGCUUUGGGAAAGCAAAGAUCUCCCAUAAAAAAGAAAAAUAGGAGCUUUCCACUUUAGGAUAGUAAUGUGAGCACAUAUAUUUAACGCUCUUUCCCUAAGUGCCAAGGAAUUGAUCAGAGAAAUGCAAAUAGUGGGAAAAGUGAAAAAGAAAUCAUUAGCAGUGUUGGAUAACAGGAAAGAAGGCCAUGAAGAGGCCCCAGCGGAGAAAAUUGCCCCUACAAAAUCUGCGCGGAUGGGAUCAAAUUGGGGACCAUAAUAACUAGUCUCUGAUUAGGCAGUUAUGAUGGAGGAAGUUUGCCUGUGGAAUAAGAGAGCAGAAUUUGAGCCUCCUCUCCAAAAUUUAAUAUUUGAACAGAGCUGGGAAUUGAGCUCCCUGGAGUAGUCAGUGGAGAGCAAAUAAAAUGACUUUUACUGGUGCAAUAGUAUUCACUAAUAGGACAACUGGCUGAGGUGGGCAACAUCACAACAGGUUACCAAGGAGAUUAGUCACGUCAGGUGGAAAGGUAGGGACAGGUGCUCAGCUUACUUUGGGCUAUUCAACAACUGUGUCAAAAGACACCUCUUACCAAAGUGGAGGGUUUUCUAUCCUGUGACUGCUCCCCAGAAAUUCUCGUAGUGCUCACUGCAGCCACUUGGGACUCCCAGAUUUAAUAAAAUAAAGGUACAAAAAAAGUAAACUUUUUUUUCCCCUUUUGACAAGAGUUAAAAGUUAGAAAAGGAAACCCCUAUAAUUUCUUGUUGUUCUCAUGUCAACUCCCCUAAACAAAAUGUCAGACUCCGUAAAGUUGAGCAAACAGAAAAUUCGCCAGUCAAAUGAAAGUAUUUGGUAGUUUCAGGUAUGAAAACUAUUGUGAGGAGGUAAAGCAAAUGUCUUUUGAGGAUAAAUAAAAACAGAUUUAUUCCAAGAAACAGUAGCAAAUUUUCAGAAAUCUCUACUUCAUAUUCUCCACGAGAGUCUAGAAAACACGUUGUCUAUAAAAAUGCAACAAUUUAGAAAUUUUUAAAAGAUUGCAUUUAGAUGCAAAACACUGUUCUAAAACUAAAACAUGAGCCACCGCGCCCGGCCCUGUAUCUUUUUUAAGGCAAGAAUCAUAUCUGUUUUUUAAAAACUUUUUAGCAAUUUAUUAUUACUUAUUUAUAAAAAUAUAGAAAAGGAAUUACAGAUUCAAACAUUUCAGAUAACCAAAAAAUUAAGUUCUUUACAAAGUUACCACUGAUAGAGCAUUUUGACUUAUUUCUAGCGUAUUAGCAGUCAGAAUGUGUAAACAUAUUAUACAAAGCUGGAUAUUCUGCAUUGCUGCCUCAUUAUGCAUUUUGAUGACAUUAGUAGAUGUGUAAAUAACAGACACAAAUAAAUUUGAAUGGAAGUUACAUAAAUGCCUUCUGCAAAUGCAUACAAGUUAUGUACUGGUAAUAAUCAAAUUUUGGUUAUGAUAUUUAAAGAUCUUUUUACGCUAUACCUAUUUUCAUGUUUCAUCAUGAAAAUAUAUUGGCAUUUAAAGAAGAAACUUCAAUAGAUUUUUGUUUUUUGCUGCUUGAUUUUUUUAUUCACCUAAAACUGGAAUUAAAUUUUUUUAUAAAAACAUAGAAAGUAGAAUAUAUCUAAAAUUUAAACGUUGCUCUUUUUUGAAAGGUAAUUCUUCUUUACAAGCCUCCUUCUUCCAAGUUACAAUUUGUAAAACUUUGAAUUUUCAGAUAUUGACAUGUCAAGCUUUCAACACUCUAAAAUACACUGAAAGUUUUACGUUUUAUAUUUUUCAUUGAAAAACCUGGCUGCAUAAUGGUAACUAAAAUAUUUAGUGUUAUUAAGAUAUAAUACGUAAAAUGUCUUGGAGUAAAUAUGAUUUUUCCACUGUGUUAUAAUGAAAAAUAGAUUUGGUCUUUGUCCUUUUUAUACCUGGCACAGAGUGUCUAAAUUCUUUGGAAUUUCUUAAGUGUCUGGUGUGUAUUUUGUUAUUUAUAAUGAGCCCCCUUAACAUACCUGAGUUUAUGCUAACGAGUGUAGUCCAGGUAGGCCCUUACAUGGUUUCAAGGGAAGAAUAAGCCACAGAAGUAAUUUGAGGGCUUGAACUUUCAGCCCUAUCCCCCCAAACUCUGGAGAGGGGAAGAGGGCUGAAGAUUGAGUUCAAUUGCCAAUGACAGUGAUUUAAUUAAGCAUGCCUGAUAAAUAAAGCCUUAAAAAAAACCUCUUGAACAAUAAUGUUAGAGGAGCUUCUGGUUGCUCCAAAACAUUGAAGUGCUGAAAGGGUGGUGCUCAUGUUACAGGAAAGGGGUCCCAAUCCAGACCCCAAGAGAGGGUUCUUGGAUCUCAUGCAAGAAAGAAUUCAGGGCGAGUCCAUAGAAUAAAGUGAAAGCAAGUUUAUUAGGAAAGUAAAGGAAUAAAAGAAUGGCUACUCCAUAGACAUAGCAGCCCUGAGGGCUGCUGGUUGCCCAUUUUUGUGGUUAUUUCUUGAUGAUAUGCUAAACAAAGGUGGAUUAUUCAUGCCUCCCCUUUUUAGACCAUAUAGGGUGACUUCCUGAUUACUGUAAAUUUUGCUCCUGAAAAACUGUAAAUUUCAGAGCUACUCUUUUGUUUGCCUUUUCUCAGAAUAACCAGCUCAAAACAUGCCAAAGAAAUAUAUUUUGGAGUAACAGUGUCUGGUGUUCUACAGUCAUAUUUUGGGGCAGUGUGUCUUGAGCCCUAAUGUGAGAUUUAGCCCUUAUAUCUGGGGAAUCUGAUGCUAUCCUAGAGUUAGUGUCAUAAGAGGAUUGAAUUAUAAGCCACCCAGUUGAUAUUAGAAAAUCAGAAAAUUGUUGAAAAAUGGCAGACCCAGAUACUGUUUUUCACAGAGUGAUAUUUAGUUCAGAUAAUAGCAUAAACUGUGGCAUAACAAUGAGAAUCUCUAGAUUUCAACCAUUAUAAUUUCAUUUUAUGGAACUGUUUUUGGUUUUCCCUGUGUAUUAACCUUGGUGUUUGCAAAAUAAAAUGUCAAAAUAAAAUUUACAAAAUAAAAUAUAACAAAAUAAAAUGUAAAUACCAUGAAUAUAUCUCUUACCAUCUUAAAAUUUUAAGCACUAUUAUUAGGAAGGAAAAAAAUUCAUAAAGAGGAAAAGCACACCAGACACAACUUGUGUGUUUCUUCCCUGAUUUAAUGUGAUUCAUUAGAGGAAUGAUACUAAAUAAUUAUUUACAAUACUUCAUUGAAAUUCCAGUUCAAGUGUCUUCUGCUGACAGCCUUGGAUAGAAGCUUUCCGACUGGCAGUUGAAGCAACCAUAAAUGGAGGCAGAACUUUAGAACUGAAAAGAAGUGGUGGAAACCCAAAAAAGGAAUGCCAUUAAUAUUUCUAACUAAAACCAAUUUCACUGGAUGAUAUAUGUAGAGCAGGGCCUGUGACCAAUCCAGUUUUUCAUCUCUGUCUAACCAAUAUGGCUGAAGUUUUGCCCUUGCCCUAGGGCAGCUAUCAUUUGAAGGAAAGUUGCUGCUCUUAAUGCAAAUUCAGUGACUUCAAUUGUCUUCUCUGACAUUACCAAAAAAAGAUGCCCUGGGCUGUUAAAUAUAUAUAUUUUUAAAUUGUCAUACAUUGGGGAAAGUUCAAAUGAUUGGUUCUAAAAACAAUGCACCUGACCUCCAAGGUAUGGAGGCCAGCUAGUUUCACCUGAUGGAGUUCCCCAUUGAAAUGCCUUUGAAAACAGAACACUUGUAGAGUCACAGUUGUACUAAAAAGUAAGGUUGUUAAUAUAUUAAAAAGCAUUUAUUUGAAAUCUUACACAGGGCCAGGCCCUGUUUUAAGUAAACAUAUAGAGGAAAUUCCCUGUCCUUAUGUAAACAUAUAUAGAAAAUUCCCUGUCCUUGCAGAGAUAUUAUUCUAGCUGCCAUGGAGUUGGGAGCAGACAACAAACAAUUAGCCCAGUUUGUUAAUAGAUAAGGAGUGCUGUGGGGUGGGAGGGAUACAAAGAGUUGUCAGACUCUGAAAGGAUUAACUGUGCAGAAAGAUCAGAAGAAGAAACAAUCACAAGCAUGCCUGUGCCUCUGACAGGUAGGAGAUAGGAAACUCCCUGCAUACCCCGAUUUUCCAAUGGAGACCUAUAUUCCAACCAAAAGAGUCACGGUUUUUCCCUGAUGGGGUGAGCAAAAUUAACCAACAGGCUAAGUUGCCCUUAUCCAUUGAGUGGUUGAAAUUCACAGUACGUAAACUAGCCAAGGGUGAGUAGGGGACACUAACCCUUGAUAUUAAAUUGGCAGUAAAUAAGAACAGAAUUAGAAAAAAAAUAGGGAGUUGGUACUCUAAAGAAAUUUUUUUCAUGCAGCAUUUUUAGUAAAAAGUAUAUCUAAACAUAAAUUAAUAAGAGCUCAUACUUGUUUGUCAUGAAAUUAUAAUACUGCUGUGAGGUAGAGAUGAUCAUCAUCUCUAUUUUAGAAAUGUGCUAACUAAGGCAAUGACAAAUUAAGUGAUUUGCCCAAGGUCACACCUCUAAUAGGUUGUGAAGAUGGGAUUUGAACCCAGACAGUCUGAUUUGAGACUCUAAGCUCUCCAAUUUAAUAUACCAAGUUGCUUUCUCAUUGUAAAGGAGCCAGGUAGUGGAGAUAAGUAAAAAUAAAUCCUGCCCUAGGCUUACCAACUAAGUGUCUUUAGACACCACAAACUUGGGGAGGUUCUGUACAUACCUAUUGUGCUUCAGCUUAAGGUAUGAGAGGAGAAUUUUGGUGGUGUCCUAGUGGACAUUAAGUAUUGGACACUGGAAUAUACACUCACCCUGUCAAUUUACAACCUAUAGGCCUGCAUAUAUUUAUUCUCAUUAAAGGAUGGGUAAGUAGGAGAAAAAAACAGUAUGGAGAAUAAAUGAAAGUAUGCUCUCAUGUAAGUAAAGCGUAGGCUUAAAGAUAAUAGAAGAAUCAUAUCUAAAUGGGAAACAAAAUUUUUCUUAAGCAUCUGUAUUGUACUCUUCACAAUUUUAAUAAAAUAUGAGCUGUAUGAAUAAAGUGAAAAUGAACUGGUCUGAUAUGUUGAAUGACAGAAAGAACAUUAGUGAUUAGAACUGACCCUGUAGAAAAUCAAGUCAUUGGAAUUAAAUAAUAUGUGGAUACAACGCAAGGUGUGAACAUCAUGGGUGAAAACAAAAUGAUUGAUUGAGUGGUUAGAAGACAUACUAGAUCUGUCAAUUGUAUUAUUUUAAAAUUAAAAAUAAAGACAUCAACCUUUAUUAAAAUUUACUAUACAGAUUGCACUGGUGGCUUCCCUUUGUUUAUAUAUCACAUGGUCAUGGCUGAUAUUCAGUACAAGUGGUUCACAGACAAGAAAGUAGAAGAGGCUCCAUGGUACACCUUGAGAGGUUGCUUUCUCAGACACUAGUUUAUUUUUUUUACUCUACAUAUAGCAAUGUAUGUAUAUACCUGCAAGAUAUAUCAUAUGUCCAGUUAAAUAAAUUCACAGAUUAUAUUUUCC
rnacentral:lncRNA from 1 species